CCGAACUAUGGCUGAGAGAAAAUAAAAACAUCACUCCUUAUGAGGGCUUAGAUGCUCCCCAUCAUAAUUUUGACAAUUUGAUGGCAGUGGCAGUAGAAGGUUACAAAGCCAAGCGAACCCAUGAUGACUGUGAUGGGGCUGGAAGCUCUAAUUACGAACCUCACCCAAAAAGGAUUGAAAGGCUCACAGAAUUUAUGGCCCAGGGUAACUCUAACUGGGAGGAGUCAAGUGAGUACAAGGAAUGUGCUGAAGAGCUAGGUGAUUGGCAAGAAUCUAGUGAAAGUGACCUUGAAGGUUAAUCAACUUUUUUUCUCUGGUAACUAACAGUUCAAAAAACAAAGAGAAGCAUUGAUAGCAGCAGGAUAAGCAAGUGUAGAAAGAGUGUCCCAAUCGGCAACCAAUCCUGUUGGACUCAAGCUGCAAGGGUAGGAGAAAUAAAUACAGGGGAUCCAAGCUUCUUCUGAAAAAAUAGAGAAGCUAACAGUUAAGAACUAAAGGAAAACCUCAACAGUUGCAAAAUAAGCAAAGUCCAGACUUUUAUAGAGUCUUCCAACUGGCAACCAAUCCUGCAGGAGGAGAGCUGCAAGGGUAAAAGAACGAAAUGGAGGGGAUUCAUUCGGUUUGAUUGUAAAAAUAGAGAUGGGUCCAUUGCCUGGUUGUUUGAGCUGGACUAUAGGGGCUGGAAUAGAAGUGACAGAGAGGUGGCAGAUCGAGCUGAUGAAGGGCAUUCAGAUGUUUAGGAAUUAGGAACCAGUUGACAGAUGUUUUGGGUUCGGAGAGGAGGGCACGUCUUCUGACAACCAUUGCUCCUAACCGCUUUACGAACUUUACCUUUGAUAGCACACAAUGGACUCCUAAUCCUGUACAUUUUUAUUCUAGUGCUGUUUUUAUUCCUUUGUGUCAAUGUAUUGUGGCCCAAAUCCACUACCAAAGUCUUAAAUAUUUUUUAAGAUUAAAAUAGAUUCUACAGAAUUUUAAGAUUACAUUUUAUGUUGUUUGUGUGUGUUUGGACAACACAAUUGAUUAAUUGUAAUGAUCGUGUCAACUUUAGUAGUAUAAUAUAGUGAGGUUUGUCGUGUAGUAUCAAAUUGCAACUUAUAUUC